rnacentral:rRNA from 1 species
CCGAAGGCGUAGACGAUGGGAACCAGGUUAAUAUUCCUGGGCCAGGAAGAUGUGACGGAUCGUGAAGGUUGUCCACCCUUAUUGGAUUGGGUGGGCCGCUAAUCGGUUCCUGGAAAUAGCCUUCCAUAAGAUCGUACCCUAAACCGACACAGGUGGACUGGUAGAGAAUACCAAGGCGCUUGAGAGAACUAUAUUGAAGGAACUCGGCAAAAUACCUCCGUAAGUUCGCGAGAAGGAGGCCCAGUUUCUACGCAAGUAUUGACUGGGGGCACAAACUAGGGGGUGGCGACUGUUUACUAAAAACACAGGGCUCUGCGAAGUCGCAAGACGACGUAUAGGGUCUGACGCCUGCCCGGUGCCUGAAGGUUAAAAGGAGGUGUGAGAGCACCGAAUUGAAGCCCAGGUAAACGGCGGCCGUAACUAUAACGGUCCUAAGGUAGCGAAAUUCCUUGUCGGGUAAGUUCCGACCUGCACGAAUGGCGUAACGACUUCCCCACUGUCUCCAAUAUAGACUCAGCGAAAUUGAAUUGCCUGUCAAGAUGCAGGCUUCCCGCGGUUAGACGGAAAGACCCCGUGCACCUUUACUACAACUUCGCACUGGCAUCAGGCACAACAUGUGCAGGAUAGGUGGUGGGCUUUGAAGCAGUAACGCCAGUUAUUGUGGAGCCUCCCUUGAGAUACCACCCUUGUUCUGCUUGAUGUCUAACUGCGGUCCAUUAUCUGGAUCCAGGACCCUGCGUGGUGGGUAGUUUGACUGGGGCGGUCGCCUCCUAAAGAGUAACGGAGGCGCGCGAAGGUUGGCUCAGAGCGGUCGGACAUCGCUCGUUGAGUGCAAUGGCAGAAGCCAGCCUGACUGCGAGACUGACAAGUCGAGCAGAGUCGAAAGACGGCCAUAGUGAUCCGGUGGUCCCGCGUGGAAGGGCCAUCGCUCAACGGAUAAAAGGUACGCCGGGGAUAACAGGCUGAUACUGCCCAAGAGUCCAUAUCGACGGCAGUGUUUGGCACCUCGAUGUCGGCUCAUCUCAUCCUGGGGCUGGAGCAGGUCCCAAGGGUACGGCUGUUCGCCGUUUAAAGAGGUACGUGAGCUGGGUUUAGAACGUCGUGAGACAGUUCGGUCCCUAUCUGCCGUGGGUGUAGGAUACUUGAGAGGAGUUGCCCCUAGUACGAGAGGACCGGGGUGAACGAUCCACUGGUGGACCUGUUGUUGCGCCAGCAGCAGUGCAGGGUAGCUAUGAUCGGACAGGAUAACCGCUGAAGGCAUCUAAGCGGGAAGCCCCCCUCAAAACAAGGUAUCCCUGAGAGCCGUGGAAGACCACCACGUCGAUAGGCCGGAGAUGUAAGCAUGGUAACAUGUUCAGUUGACCGGUACUAAUGGCUCGAUAGGCUUGGUUUG